GAUGAAGAACGCAGCGAAAUGCGAUACGUAAUGUGAAUUGCAGAAUUCAGUGAAUCAUCGAAUCUUUGAACGCAUAUUGCGCUCUCUGGUAUUCCGGAGAGCAUGCUUGUUUGAGUAUCAGUAAACACCUCAACUCCCCUUUCUUUUUUGAAAUGGGAGCUGGACUUGAGUGAUCCCAACGCUUUUCUCACCGAAAAGUGGCGGGUUACUUGAAAUGCAGGUGCAGCUGGACUUUUCUCUGAGCUAAAAGCAUAUCUAUUUAGUCUGCCUAAAAAACAGAUUAUUACCUUUGCUGCAGCUAACAUAAAGGAGAUUAGUUCUUGUGCUGACUGAUGCAGGAUUCACAGAGACAGCUUCGGCUGGCCUUUGUAAACUCGAUCUCAAAUCAAGUAAGACUACCCGCUGAACUUAAGCAUAUCAAUAAGCGGAGGA
rnacentral:misc_RNA from 1 species